GUCUUAGUAGCGGUCAGCAAGGGAUAAACUAGACACACAAUACAAGUUUUGAUGUUUAUUUGAGAUAAUUGACAGGUACACAAGAAAUACAAAUGAUGCAGGUCAUUCUAGGUACUGAGUGGCAUGGAUCGGCGUGGCGGAGAGCUUUGCAAGGCAAGCAGUGAGUGGGGCGGGCGUAGGGAGCACAGCGGAGGCCAAGAUCACAUACUGAGCCCAGCCAACCACCACUACUGGUCUUGCCAGGCCACAUUGCUGCCACCACCACUAAUGUUUCUUUAUUCUACAGGCACCCACAACACUACACCACUACCUUCCGGCUCACCAUCCCAGCCUACUGAGUCUACGCACUACACAACAACCACCAACAAACAUCCUUGUUGGUUCGUCUCCUAAGCACUCCACUGCUCCAGACUCCUUGUGUCAACAAACCUCUCACAGCCACCACGCCACCUUCCCCUCAGCCCGUCACAGCCUCGUCUUCUCGCCGGCGCCACCUUCCCAUCACCGCCUCGUCUCAUCGCUGUGGUAUUUCUGAAAGUUCGUAAAUAGACCAAGCAACAUGUAUCCUUUUGAGAGAUUAGUAAGAAAUGUCUCAACAGGACAAAAAUGUACGAAAGAAAAAUGCAUUCUCUCUCUCUCUCUCUCUCUCUCCACAGCCACAGGAGGCCCACAGGAUGUCCUCCCACAGUAUGUUUACGAACCACAGGCGACUCCCACAGCGCAAUCAGUCCAUGAGCCAGACUGACACAUCAUGUACUGUACCUACCAACGUCUCAGCACCUGCAUCAUGAUUCACUCCACUACACACCUUAAGUCUGAUCUUGUCUGACUCUGAAUUAUUAAUAAAAAAUGGAAAUUUGCUGAAUUAUUAAUAAAAAAUGGAAAUUUG